rfam:Gossypium raimondii chromosome 5, whole genome shotgun sequence.
GUUCUGUGAUGGGGGAAUUUAAGAAGUAACUCCUUGAAUCUUUCUCACGCCUCAUAUAGGGACUUGUCAUCCAAUUGUUGAAAAAUAGUGAUCUCAUUUCACAAC